UACGGAGGGGGCUAGCGUUGUUCGGAAUUACUGGGCUUAAAGCGCACGUAGGCGGCUUUGUAAGUUAGAGGUGAAAGCCCGGAGCUCAACUCCGGAAUUGCCUUUAAGACUGCAUCGCUCGAAUCAUGGAGAGGUGAGUGGAAUUCCGAGUGUAGAGGUGAAAUUCGUAGAUAUUCGGAAGAACACCAGUGGCGAAGGCGGCUCACUGGACUGGUAUUGACGCUGAGGUGCGAAAGCGUGGGGAGCAAACAGG
rnacentral:rRNA from 1 species